GACGAACGCUGGCGGCGUGCCUAAUACAUGCAAGUAGAACGCUGAAGAGAGGAGCUUGCUCUUCUUGGAUGAGUUGCGAACGGGUGAGUAACGCGUAGGUAACCUGCCUUGUAGCGGGGGAUAACUAUUGGAAACGAUAGCUAAUACCGCAUAACAAUGGAUGACACAUGUCAUUUAUUUGAAAGGGGCAAUUGCUCCACUACAAAAUGGACCUGCGUUGUAUUAGCUAGUAGGUGAGGUAAUGGCUCACCUAGGCGACGAUACAUAGCCGACCUGAGAGGGUGAUCGGCCACACUGGGACUGAGACACGGCCCAGACUCCUACGGGAGGCAGCAGUAGGGAAUCUUCGGCAAUGGGGGCAACCCUGACCGAGCAACGCCGCGUGAGUGAAGAAGGUUUUCGGAUCGUAAAGCUCUGUUGUAAGUCAAGAACGGGUGUGAGAGUGGAAAGUUCACACUGUGACGGUAGCUUACCAGAAAGGGACGGCUAACUACGUG
rnacentral:rRNA from 1 species